GACGAACGCUGGCGGCGUGCUUAACACAUGCAAGUCGAACGGAAAGGCCCUGCUUUUGUGGGGUUCACGAGUGGCGAACGGGUGAGUAACACGUGAGUAACCUGCCCUUGACUUUGGGAUAACUUCAGGAAACUGGGGCUAAUACCGGAUAGGAUCUCCUGCUGCAUGGUGGGGGUUGGAAAGUUUCGGCGGUUGGGGAUGGACUCGCGGCUUAUCAGCUUGUUGGUGGGGUAGUGGCUUACCAAGGCUUUGACGGGUAGCCGGCCUGGGAGGGUGACCGGCCACAUUGGGACUGAGAUACGGACCAGACUGCUACGGGAGGCAGCAGUGGGGAGUAUUGCACAAUGGGCGGAAGCCUGAUGCAGCAACGCCGCGUGCGGGAUGACGGCUUUCGGGUUGUAAACCGCUUUCGCAUGUGACGAAGCGUGAGUGACGGUAAUGGGUAAAGAAGCACCGGCUAACUACGUG
rnacentral:rRNA from 1 species